CCACCGCUCUCUUUCACAGCUUCUGGGUUGGGAGUGCAGUUUCAGGUCUCCCCCAAGGGUAGGGGCUACUUAACUUUCGAUGCCCAAUUUCACGGGGUCUGAGGAGGAAGAGGCAGGAGGGCGGGUUGGCACUCCAGAAGCGCGAGGGGGGUAUGGGGGUAACCCGACUGUAACCCGAGUGCCCUAGUGCCAUGGGAACCGCGUGUCUGACCCGCCCCCUGUGUGAAAAAUUCAGGAGCGGCUGGCGCUACGGCCUCCAACUGCUUUUGGGGACGGGAGCUGCCGCCGGUCAGGCCCCAGCAGCCUCCCCAGGAGCCCCGUGGCCAUGACACAGCUGCUUCUGUUCCUUGUGGCUCUCCUGGUUCUGGGUCAUGUGCCAUCAGCUGGACUGUACUGCUGCCAUCUCGGCUCACUGCAACCUCCCCGCCUGAUUCUCCUGCCUCAGCCUGCCCAGUGCCUGCGAUUGCAGGCGCGCGCCACCACGCCUGACUGGUUUUCGUACUUUUUUGGUGGAGAUGGGGUUUCGCUGUGUUGGCCGGGCUGGUCUCCAGCUCCUAACCGCGAGUGAUCCGCCAGCCUCGGCCUCCCGAGGUGCCGGGAUUGCAGACGGAGUCUGGUUCACUCAGUGCUCAAUGGUGCCCAGGCUGGAGUGCAGUGGCGUGAUCUCAGCUCGCUACAACCUCCAUCUCCCAGCCGCCUGCCUUGGCCUCCCAAAGUGCCGAGAUUGCAGCCUCUGCCCGGCCGCCACCCCGUCUGGGAAGUGAGGAGCGUCUCUGCCUGGCCGCCCAUCGUCUGGGACGUGAGGAGCCCCUCUGCCUGGCUGCCCAGUCUGGAAAGUGAGGAGCGUCUCUGCCCCGCCGCCAUCCCGUCUAGGAAGUGAGGAGCGCCUCUUCCCGGCAGCCAUCCCAUCUGGGAAGUGAGGAGCGUCUCUGCCCGGCCGCCCAUCGUCUGAGAUGUGGGGAGCGCCUCUGCCCCGCCGCCCCGUCUGGGAUGUGAGGAGCGCCUCUGCCAGGCUGCGACCCCGUCUGGGAGGGAGAAGUGAAUUCAAACGGUGCUGGAAGGGUCAAGGGGCCUGCCAAACUUACUGCACAAGGCAAGAAACUUACAUGCACCUGUGCCCGGAUGCGUCCCUGUGCUGUCUCUCCUAUGCAUUGAAACCUCCACCGGUCCCCAAGCAUGAAUAUGAGUAGCUGGUUCCUGCUGUCCAAUAAAACACAGGUUGCCA
rnacentral:lncRNA from 1 species